GAGGCCGCAAAUUACAUCAAAUAAUGUCAAAACUACAUUUUGUACCUCGAAUCAAACUUAUGUAUGUUUAAAUCUUCCAACUUCUAAAACUCGUGCCGAAACAUAUCAAAUUAAUUUCGAUUGACCUUAAGUUUUUUACAUAAGUCAUAAAUAACAUAAUGGACCUACUUCAAUUUCCAUAAUUCAAAUCCGAACCCGAUAUCAAUAAAGUCAACUCCUGGUCAAAUCUCUCAACCUUCCAAAAGUUCAACUUUCCAAUUUUUUCCAAAAUGCAUCAAAUAAUCCUACGGACCUCUAAAUAUGGACACAAGUCUAAGUACAAUAUCACCAUAUGAAGCUAUCGGAAUCCUCAUAACAUCAUUCCAAAGUCGUCUAUACAAAAGUCAAACCCCGAUCAAUUCUUACCGCUUAAACUUCCAAAACUAAAAUUGUUCCUCCAAAUUGAUAUCGAAUCAUCCAAAACCAAAAUCGACCAGACACGCAAGUCGUAAUACAUUAUACAAAGCUGUUUGAGACCUUAAGCCACCGAACGGGAUACUAAUCCUCAACACCGCCAGUCAAGUCGUUACAUUUACCUUUCCAAAGACAAAAGUAAAAGCAAUUAUUUAACUUGUUCAAAUUGAGCAUAACAAGAUAGUAGACUAUAUCUUUUGUAUGCAAAAUGAUUAAUGUUUACAGUAGCUGUUAAUGCUGCUAUUUAUGGCCCUAUUUAGGGGGACAAGAUCCAAAAAUCAAGCUCAUCUUGAAUGAGAAUAAAAUCAUCAUCGAUGAUGCAUAACUAAUUGCUUUAGAUGCAAAUAUUCUCUGUAACGUCUGCCCAAUGAAUACUACCCGAUGACAAGAAUGCAAAUAUUUGCUAUCAAUUAUUCUGUCUUCAAGAGCUCGUUUACAAUCGGUGAAACUAUGUGAUGACUCAUAUUACACCUUGUGGAUCCCAUUAUUCUUGCAAAAUCAGGUUUUAAUAUGUGAUAACUCUUUUGAUUGGGAGAUACGGUGUUAAAAGAAGAAGAGGCACCACCUAACAGUUUUUAAGGUGCAUUAGGGCACCUAUUAUGCAGAUAACUCUAUUUGACUAGUCGUGCCACCAAAGAUCAGAUAAGGGAUCAAAUUACCUCAAAGAAAAGGUGUUAGGCACUCUUCGAGGUCUACAAAUAUGGGCCCCGAUCGAACUUAAGACUAUGUAUAUUAUAAUUAGGCAAGAUGAUAAACAAAGAGAAUAAGGGUCAAAAAGUUUUGUUAUAACACAAUGAGAAAUGAUAUAAAAUCAUAAGUAUUACAAGGAUAUAACUAUAUCUAUAUUAGCUGACUAAGUGUAUAAAGAAAAGGGGGUCCCAAGUUUUUUAGCCUAAAGGAUCAUCCCGUACAAUAUAAAUAAUACUUCGAACCUUUCUUGAGAUAGGGUUACUCAUAUUAUUCAGCGGGCACAAACUAUCAUCUCCUGCUACCCAAUUACUAUGUUAAAGUUGUUUAGUUAAAGGAGCUCUAAUUCAAUUCUAAGUCAUGCCUUAUGUGCGCGCUACCCGUCCCGUGCCUAUGGUCCAAGAGGCAUUGGACCUCAAUUUGGGUGGUUCUAGACUUUACUUAGGCUACUCAAAAUGAUAAAACUAGUUUCUAAAUAACUACACAGUUUAAGAGUAUUUGGUACUGCUAUGCCGAUCAUUGAGAUUAUAGAUUAUAAGCGCACAAGCAGUGCCAAUUAUGGUGAACCAAUGAGUAUUCAGAUUAUAGGCAUUACAUAAUCCUAUAGGUAUAAUCUUUAAAUGAGGCAAUGGAACCAUUUAAAACCUUGGAGUAAUUACUCGCGUUUGAUAUUAUCAUACUUCUAGGAGAAUAAAAACAUCCUAUGGAGGGGAUAUCUAAGAGUUGGCAAUUGAAACUGGUUCUAUAACACUUCGUCCCUAUAGGCAUGUUUUCAAGGCGAGCAAUAGAUAUAACAGUAUCUAAUUAAUCAAUUAAGUCCUAUGGAUAUGAUAUCUAGAUGAGGAUCAGUAACACAAAGUAAAUAUAAUCCGAUAGGCAUGUUAUCUAAUAAAUAAACUGCAACUGCACAAAUUGAAGGAUAGUUAUUGACAUUUGUUCCUUACAAGCAUGUUGUCUAGUAACACAUAGCAGUAAACACAAGAACAAAUAAAGUACGCAGAGCUCAUGCUUUGAUAGUAAGCAAGUUGAGUAAGUGCGUGAUUCCCCUAAUGACUCUACUAGUGUACAUGGAAACAAAAUAAGAUAUAUGGAGGGUUGGAUAAAAUUACAAUUAAGUCAUCUAAAUCCUAUGGGAAUAUUUUCUACCAUUUCAUGCAAAACGUUAGAAUAUACUCGUUCCCCCAAUUUCACUAACACCUCAAUUGUAUAUUACAAAAUUAUUACAGGCCGGAUAAUGAAUAUAAGUAUAACUAUUACACUAUAAACAACAAUAUGCCUAAAAGUAGGCCCAAAAGGAGAAACCCAGUAUUGCCAGGGCCUUCAAUAAACUCAAUUUCCACAAAUAGCAUGCGCAGGUCCAAACAUUCAUCACAACCCAAAAGUCAUAGAGGAACUCAUGCUAGACCAAACAGUUACAUAUGACCCUAAUAAAUUAUAAAAUUACACGAAAAUCAUUGAAGCAACCCAAUUUGUAGAUUAAACAAAUAACAUGAAGGAGAAAAUCUAAGUGUCAGAGACAACUUAAUUUCCAACAGCAAAGAAAGUGGCCAAAGGACUCUAAAUCCUAGUUUCUCAGAGUUCACAAGAGUCUCAAAUGGAUCCCGAAUAGUACUCACACUAGGGAUUUCAAUUAGAGAGAUUUUUUAUGGCCAUGCUUUUUAGCCGGCCAAGAGUGAUAGAUUCAGAAUAAUAUAGAUAACGGAUGAGAGUGACAAAACAAUGAUUAAGUGAUAGAAUUUUAAGAGGUACACUGUUAUCUUUGAAGCAGACAUAGCAGAGUUGCUUAAACACAGAACAUCCAGUUAAUAGAAUCAACAAGACUUAUAGAAAAUGUUAAUAUUGACAUUAUAGGUUCAAACACUUAGCAAGACAUAGCAUAUUGGGAAGACGACAUAUGGAGAGAGUUAGGGGAAUCAGGUUUUCUAAGGUUAUAAGAUAAACAUCAGAGUACAUAAUGUUAGAUAGAGUAACCAAUUAAAUGAUUUAAAGCAAUGUUAGUUAGAGUAACCGCUUAAAUGAUUUAAUGCCUAGAGAUCUAGGCCGGGUUAAGUGUCCAUCACUACGCCAACUUACAUAAUGAAGCAACCAAUACUAUAAAAAAAAAAGUUAGGAUAACUAUUCCAAAGGUCUCAAAUAACCACUGAUGGAUACAUGAUUUAGCAUAUCAAAGAUAUAAUAAAGUGUCAAAACUGGCAUGGGAGCAGAUCAGGAUUAAUAUGAAAUCCCUAACAGAGAUUAGAGUACAUUCUAAGCAUGACCUAGUCAUUACAAUGAAUCAGAACAAAGCAGGGAAGCAAACUCAUGCCAAGUAGCAAAUGUAACCAUUCAGGUACCAACACACUUGGCUAAACGCUUAAGAGAGUCCAAAUUAUUCAAGUUAAGCAUGUACAAUAAACAUGUCUCUAAACUGAAAAUUUUAAGUAGAAUCAAAUGCUAAAGAAGUUCAGAUCAUGAAACAAAUUCAGUGCUAACAAAGUUGCAUACAGCGAUGAUCUAGAAACUCAUUAAGUCACGAAAUUUCAGAGGCAUGAAUGUGCAAGACAUGACCACAUAAGAAUGAAAUUGCAAAAGCAAAGGAACUCACUUGUUGUCAAUUGAUAAAUAAACGAAUAAGAAAUAAUAAACUCCACGAUACUCUUAAUGUCAACAAAGAGCAAUAGAACCUACAAUCUUAGUGUAUCAGAGUUCCCAAGGGUUUCAAAUAAACCCCGAAUAGUGCUCGCACUAAGAAAGGUUGAAUAAUCAAAUUCUGAUGGCCUAGGCUUUCAGCCGGCCAAGAGCCAAAGUAUAAAACAAGAGAAUGAGAUAAUAAUAGAGUGAUUUUGAGUUUUGGUGAAUUCGGUGAUUAAUCCUUUUCAAAUGUAAAUAGGGGGAUUUAUAUAAUCAUAGAAAUAAAGCAAAUGAACAAGGAAACACUGUAAAAUCAAACAUAAAUAAUGAAAUAAUCAUAUGUAUAAUCAAUUAAAAAUCAGAUUAAGAAAAAAUUAGGUAAACCCUAGUUAAUAAAAAUCCAAUAUUCGACCAAUGAUUUUGGUGAAUCGGCUUCAUAUCGCCUUGCCAUGAACAUACAUAGAUAGAAUACCGUCUAUAUCUUGAAGAUUGAAGAUGAUUUCAACAUAAUUCCAGGUCUGGUACUUGCCAAAAAUGGGCAAGUACUAAGUAAUACCAAAAUCUUGUACGCAUUAUGGAGAUAGAGCAUAUAUGGAAGGAAAAUCAUCAGAGGAUUCCCCAUCAAGGUCGGAAUCGGAGAUAAUUACGGGGGUGACGGUUAGGGUUUAUGAAGGAAAAGAGAGUAACAGACAAAAUAGAGGCGACUGUCUUUAAGAAAUGGGAUUCGGGUUAGGUUAUGGGGAUGUAAGGAAAGGGAGUGCGUUGUUGUGAGCUGUUGAUUGCUUUUGACCAACAAUUAAGAUUAAAAAUGAGUUUGGUCGGGUUUUUUGGACUGGGCAAG
rnacentral:lncRNA from 1 species